rnacentral:lncRNA from 1 species
GAUCACCUGUUCAGGAUUUUUUGCCAUCGAGAUGGAAAUCAGCUGUUCAGUCGGUUCACCCCGUUUUUCCUCUUUCCAUUGGUUCAACUUGUCGACCGAUAGGGAAUCCUUCGAUUUAUUAUUUUGAGUUGAGAUUUGGAAGCAUCGUCGAGCGAGCUGUUGAUCCCCGUACAUUUCUCCAGCUCCAUUUUUAGUCAGGAAUGGGACCAGCAAGUGAUAUGUCGAGACUAUCGCUCUGAGAGCGUUUAGUUCGGGUCUUCCACGUAUGGCGUUGUAGGCCAAAGGUACUCGGAUGACCG